rfam:Aequorivita sublithincola DSM 14238, complete genome.
AACAGGGUAACCGAAAACUGUAUUAUAGAGUAGGUA